GUGGGGAAUUUUGGACAAUGGGCGCAAGCCUGAUCCAGCAAUGCCGCGUGCAGGAAGAAGGCCUUCGGGUUGUAAACUGCUUUUGUACGGAACGAAACGGUCCGGGUUAAUACCCUGGGCUAAUGACGGUACCGUAAGAAUAAGCACCGGCUAACUACGUGCCAGCAGCCGCGGUAAUACGUAGGGUGCAAGCGUUAAUCGGAAUUACUGGGCGUAAAGCGUGCGCAGGCGUUUUUGUAAGUCAGGCGUGAAAUCCCCGGGCUCAACCUGGGAAUUGCGCUUGUGACUGCAAGGCUGGAGUGCGGCAGAGGGGGAUGGAAUUCCGCGUGUAGCAGUGAAAUGCGUAGAUAUGCGGAGGAACACCGAUGGCGAAGGCAAUCCCCUGGGCCUGCACUGACGCUCAUGCACGAAAGCGUGGGGAGCAAACAGGAUUAGAAACCCUUGUAGUCC
rnacentral:rRNA from 1 species